rnacentral:rRNA from 1 species
UACAGAGGUCUCAAGCGUUGUUCGGAUUCAUUGGGCGUAAAGGGUGCGUAGGUGGGUUGGUAAGUCAGUGGUGAAAUCUCCGUGCUUAACAUGGAAACUGCCAUUGAUACUACUGGUCUUGAAUUUUCUGGAGGUAAGCGGAAUAUGUCAUGUAGCGGUGAAAUGCUUAGAUAUGAACAUAGAACACCAAUUGCGAAGGCAGCUUACUACAGGGACAUUGACACUGAGGCACGAAAGCGUGGGGAUCAAACAGG